GUGGCAAUAGAUAACAUGAAACAUUGCUUUCCGUCAAAAGUGUUCAAGGUGGAAAUCGUUGACGCCAUUUCGUAUCUCGUUUCGCUGUUAGCGUCACGAAAGUUUUGUCCCUUUUUACUUUAAUUUAAUUUUGCCAAAACGUCGCAGCCACAUACACCUGUUCUUUUUUGUGAUUGUAAAAACGUAAAACACUGAAUUUUUACGUAUAAUGUAUAAUCAUAAAAUGGUUUCAUCUAAUCAACCGAGGAAAACAAAAAUAUUUGUGGGUCGGUUACCAGAAAAUUGUCGCAACGAUGAGUUGCGAGCAUUAUUUUUACGUUUUGGUGAGGUAACUGAGUGCGAUGUCAUGAAUCGGUAUGGGUUUGUCCACAUGGCGCGCGAGGAAGAUGCGGCUGCAGCGAUCAAAGCGCUUCACAAUUCCAACUUCAAAGGGGCGACAAUCAAUGUGGAACAGUCUACCGGCAAAUCACGUGGAGGAGGAGGAGGACGCAGGGAUGGCGACAGAAGAGGUGGACCAAUGAGAGGUGGUAGAGGAGGACGAGACGGUGGUAGAGACGCUCGUCCUGGACCUUACAAUGAUAGAAGAGUUCUUCCGAUCCAACUCGUUGGUUACGAUGGAUCUGCUGCAGGUGGCGUCGCAACCGGGUACACCGAUUACAAUCGUGGCGCUGGAGACUUUAGUGGACGUGGGGCUGACUUCGGGACCGGAUACACCGACCGUGGAGCGUACGGGCAAAACGUGGGUAGCGCGGCGAUGGGCUACACUUCAACAGCGCCUGGAAUGGGAGGAGGAUACGGACCAGCCACCGGAGCAGUUGGAGGAUACGGACCUACCGGGACAGCUGACUACGGCCGAACAGACUAUAGCCGCGCUGCAGAUUUUGGAGCUAGAACAGAUUAUGUUGUUGGAGGUGGAAUGACUGGGGAUUUUAGUCGUGGCGCACCAGGUCCAAUGGAUUAUGGACGUACUGAUAACUUUGGUGCAAAUCGCACUGUUGAUUAUACAGCUAGAAAUGAUUAUGAUCGAACUGCAACAGGACCUAUGAGAAAUGGUGGUGGUGCGGUUGCCACUACUGGGUAUGGCACAGGGUACACAGAUGUAGGAUAUGAUGAAAGCCACUGGGGUUAUCCGGGCGGGCCUGGGGAUAUGAUGGGUGGGCCCGGGGGGGUAAGUCAGGGAGCUACGAUGGCCUAUGACAGGAGGGAUGGUCCCCCUGUUAAUGAUAUGCCUCCGUUUAACAGGCCAAUGAGUACAGGACCCAGCUACAGCACUGGGGCACCUAGUUACAGUACUGGUCCAGGACCACAAGCAGAUAUGUUUAGUAGAAGACCAGGCAGUGCUGUCCCCAGUGGUGGAUAUCCUCCUGUUGGUGGAGGUUAUACCGAAGGAUACGACAGACCAGACGCAUAUGGUCCUCCGCGUAGUGGUGGACGAGUCGAACAGUUAGAUCAGACAGGGAUACAGAAGUGAAGUUUUCAAAACGCUCGCUGUGGACCAAGAUAUCGUACAUGCGUCUACUAUAGUUUCCACCAUAAACAUGUGUACAAAGUGUUUCCACUCGAUUAUCAUUGGGACACUCUGUAUGUGUAUUUAUAAUAAUUCAUUUAUUCUUAACUCAUUGCACUUCAAAUCUAUCUCAGUUUGUAUAAAUUACAGUUCAAAUAUUUCUUAAGAAAAUCACUGUGCAAAGAGUUAACGAUAAGAAACAAUGUUACCAAAUAAUUUCUUAAGUUUUUAAAUAUAACGUUGGAAUAUUUAGUGUUUACUUUGCUGAAUGUAUUCGGUCCACAGCGUCCGUACAUCAUAAAUUUUAAUGUUCCUAUUAUAGAAAUCUCCAUGUACAACAAAUGUUUCUUUGUCAAUUCGAAUCUCCUACCCUCUGUAAGAAAGUUAGUAGUAUAAUACUGAACCAUACGUUCUGAUCUCGAUCAUUUGUAUUAAUUUGGUAUGUUUAAAAAAAGAAAAGUUCUAUUGAAUGUACGAAAGGUACUUUGUUAUGAAAAUACAAGUGUAAAUGCAGAACUUCAUUUGGAAGUUGAUGGAGAAAUCUACAAUGACUUGUACUUAGAACAGCGUAAUCUUGAAUUGUGCGACGAACCCGCGUAAGCGCAGCUCACUUCGAAUCCUGGUGGCAUAUCAACGUCAGAUUAUACGAAGAGACGAUAUCAAGUCGCUUACCUAUGCGUGUGGCCCGUAGAUGCGACCACUGGUGAAUAAUGCAAGCUUCGAUAUGCGGAUAACGUGCUACAAAUUGCGUUUGCGCUCAAAGCUGGCGGUGCUUUGAAUUUAAACAGAAGAUUACAAGCGGGAUGACGACUCAGUGAGGACAAUGAGAUGAACUCAGAUUGGAAGUAUGGGUCCUAAUAAUACCAUGGAGUCUCUUCCUGUAUACUCAGGUCCGUGGAUUUAUUCCAUCAACAGGAAUGUUUGCAACGACGUUAAAAAGAAGAAAGUUGCGGGAAAAGAAGAGAAAAAAGAAUUUCUCUUUUUGUUCAGGUGUAUUAAAGAUUUUAGUUGGUGUUCAAUAACUUCGCCGUAGGAAUAUGUCUGUCGUUAUGAAAGUUUAGGCUCGGGCCCAACACCUCCUGCAAGUUUGUAGACUAAUGAUGCCACAUCUACAAUUAAUUUCUUAAGAUCAUUUUCAUUUUCACAUUCUGCAUAUACCCGUACCACAUCUUCGGUACCCGAGGGCCUAAAAGUAUACAUUUUUAAAUAUUUUUUUUAUACUUUCUACAUGCUAUUAAAUAUAUGAUAUAUGAUAAUAAUUACCUUAA